rnacentral:rRNA from 1 species
GGUUAAGUCCUCGAUCGAUUAGUAUCUGUCAGCUCCAUGUGUCGCCACACUUCCACCUCAGACCUAUCAACCUGAUCAUCUUUCAGGGAUCUUACUUCCUUGCGGAAUGGGAAAUCUCAUCUUGAGGGGGGCUUCAUGCUUAGAUGCUUUCAGCACUUAUCCCGUCCGCACAUAGCUACCCAGCGAUGCCCUUGGCAGAACAACUGGUACACCAGCGGUGCGUCCAUCCCGGUCCUCUCGUACUAAGGACAGCUCCUCUCAAAUUUCCUGCGCCCGCGACGGAUAGGGACCGAACUGUCUCACGACGUUCUGAACCCAGCUCGCGUACCGCUUUAAUGGGCGAACAGCCCAACCCUUGGGACCGACUACAGCCCCAGGAUGCGAUGAGCCGACAUCGAGGUGCCAAACCUCCCCGUCGAUGUGGACUCUUGGGGGAGAUAAGCCUGUUAUCCCCGGGGUAGCUUUUAUCCGUUGAGCGAUGGCCCUUCCAUGCGGAACCACCGGAUCACUAAGCCCGACUUUCGUCCCUGCUCGACUUGUAGGUCUCGCAGUCAAGCUCCCUUGUGCCUUUACACUCUGCGAAUGAUUUCCAACCAUUCUGAGGGAACCUUUGGGCGCCUCCGUUACCUUUUAGGAGGCGACCGCCCCAGUCAAACUGCCCACCUGACACUGUCUCCCCGCCCGAUAAGGGCGGCGGGUUAGAAGGUCAAUACAGCCAGGGUAGUAUCCCACCGAUGCCUCCACCGAAGCUGGCGCUCCGGUUUCCAAGGCUCCUACCUAUCCUGUACAAGCUGUACCAACAUUCAAUAUCAGGCUGCAGUAAAGCUCCACGGGGUCUUUCCGUCCUGUCGCGGGUAACCUGCAUCUUCACAGGUACUAUAAUUUCACCGAGUCUCUCGUUGAGACAGUGCCCAGAUCGUUGCGCCUUUCGUGCGGGUCGGAACUUACCCGACAAGGAAUUUCGCUACCUUAGGACCGUUAUAGUUACGGCCGCCGUUUACUGGGGCUUCAAUUCGCACCUUCGCUUACGCUAAGCGCUCCUCUUAACCUUCCAGCACCGGGCAGGCGUCAGCCCCUAUACUUCGCCUUACGGCUUCGCAGAGACCUGUGUUUUUGCUAAACAGUCGCCUGGGCCUAUUCACUGCGGCUCUCUCGGGCUUGCACCCUAACAGAGCACCCCUUCUCCCGAAGUUACGGGGUCAUUUUGCCGAGUUCCUUAACGAGAGUUCUCUCGAUCACCUUAGGAUUCUCUCCUCGCCUACCUGUGUCGGUUUGCGGUACGGGCACCUCUCACCUCGCUAGAGGCUUUUCUUGGCAGUGUGGAAUCAGGAACUUCGCUACUAUAAUUCGCUCGCCAUCACAGCUCAGCCUUCACGGGAAACGGAUUUGCCUAUUUCCCAGCCUAACUGCUUGGACGCGGAUAUCCAAUACCGCGCUUACCCUAUCCUCCUGCGUCCCCCCAUUGCUCAAAUGGUGAGGAGGUGGUACAGGAAUAUCAACCUGUUAUCCAUCGCCUACGCCUUUCGGCCUCGGCUUAGGUCCCGACUAACCCUGAGCGGACGAGCCUUCCUCAGGAAACCUUAGGCAUUCGGUGGAGGGGAUUCUCACCCCUCUUUCGCUACUCAUACCGGCAUUCUCACUUCUAAGCGCUCCACAAGUCCUUCCGGUCUUGCUUCACAGCCCUUAGAACGCUCUCCUACCACUGUUCGAAGAACAGUCCGCAGCUUCGGUGAUACGUUUAGCCCCGGUACAUUUUCGGCGCAGAGUCACUCGACCAGUGAGCUAUUACGCACUCUUUAAAUGGUGGCUGCUUCUAAGCCAACAUCCUGGUUGUCUAAGCAACUCCACAUCCUUUUCCACUUAACGUAUACUUUGGGACCUUAGCUGGCGGUCUGGGCUGUUUCCCUUUCGACUACGGAUCUUAUCACUCGCAGUCUGACUCCCAAGGAUAAGUCAUCGGCAUUCGGAGUUUGACUGAAUUCGGUAACCCGGUAGGGGCCCCUAGUCCAACCAGUGCUCUACCUCCGAGACUCUUACCUUGAGGCUAGCCCUAAAGCUAUUUCGGAGAGAACCAGCUAUCUCCAGGUUCGAUUGGCAUUUCACCCCUACCCACACCUCAUCCCCGCACUUUUCAACGUGCGUGGGUUCGGGCCUCCAUUCAGUGUUACCUGAACUUCACCCUGGACAUGGGUAGAUCACCUGGUUUCGGGUCUACGACCACGUACUCAAUUCGCCCUAUUCAGACUCGCUUUCGCUGCGGCUCCGCAUCUUCUGCUUAACCUUGCACGGGAUCGUAACUCGCCGGUUCAUUCUACAAAAGGCACGCCAUCACCCGUUAACGGGCUCUGACUACUUGUAGGCACACGGUUUCAGGAUCUCUUUCACUCCCCUUCCGGGGUGCUUUUCACCUUUCCCUCACGGUACUGGUUCACUAUCGGUCACUAGGGAGUAUUUAGCCUUGGGAGAUGGUCCUCCCGGAUUCCGACGGAAUUUCACGUGUUCCGCCGUACUCAGGAUCCACUCAGGAGAGAACGAAGUUUUGACUACAGGGCUGUUACCUCCUAUGGCGGGCCUUUCCAGACCUCUUCAUCUACCUCGUUCCUUUGUAACUCCGUACAGAGUGUCCUACAACCCCAAGAGGCAAGCCUCUUGGUUUGGGCUGGUCCCGUUUCGCUCGCCGCUACUCAGGGAAUCGCAUUUGCUUUCUCUUCCUCCGGGUACUUAGAUGUUUCAGUUCCCCGGGUCUGCCUUCUCAUAUCCUAUGUAUUCAGAUAUGGAUACCACUCCAUUACGAGUGGUGGGUUUCCCCAUUCGGAAAUCUCCGGAUCAAAGCUUGCUUACAGCUCCCCGAAGCAUAUCGGUGUUCGUCCCGUCCUUCAUCGGCUCCUAGUGCCAAGGCAUCCACCGUGCGCCCUUUCUAACUUAA